CCAGGAUGGGGAAAGGGGAGUGAUAUUAGACCUAUGUUGGGUUUAUUUAUAUAAAUCUAUACUCGACUGCUCUGUGUUUGUUUUUUGGAGGGGGGGGCAGUGAGUCAAAGCAGACGCUAUUGCCUCGCUAAAAAAGUAUAACCUUCUCUAGCGGAGGAAUCAGCUCUCAAACUACAAAACCCAGGGCAACUAACUGAACGUCGUGAAGGAUCUAGCUACGCAUGGUCGUUAUUUGAUACGUGGAACAUCGGACAGAGACUUGCUAGUAGCUACAUAGCUAACUAUAGCCAUGAAUCAGAUGCAGGACGGGUGGGAGAAAUUAAUAGGCGAAUAUCGCAGCCAAUCACAACACUGGCGGACAAUGCUAGCCCGCACCCCUCCGCCCUCCCAGAAUCCCUGUGUAGUGCCUCUUCUGGUAGCGCCUUACUGCUGGGUCUGAAGAGGGUGACUGUGCGGCUGGUCGACUGCAGGAAAACAACGGGGCUGAGUGGAACUACAAGACGAGGAGACAAGGAGGAAGAGGGAGAUUUGACUGAUCAAAGUAAAAGACUGCUGGGUCUGAAGAGGGUGUCUGUGCGGCUGGUCGACUGCAGGAAAACAACGGGGCUGAGUGGACCUAUGAGAGGAGGAGGAGAAGAAGAUGACGAGGGAGAUUUGACUGAUCAAAAUAAGUAGGAUGUUUAUGUAGGAGCAGAAUGUGUUUACUUUGGACUUCAACCUUCACAUUACUAAUAUGAAGAAGACGCAGAAGAAGCAGCUGCUAUCCUACUAGGAGCAUGAAACACGACUCAUCUCCUGGCGGCACACAACAUUUAAAAUAAAAUGUUUUUAUAAUAAAUAUUCUGCACUGGCAUUUGAACAAAAUACUAAUAUUCUGACCAUUAUGAGUAACUUCAUUGUGUAGUAGAUCUUAAAUAAUCCUUAAAUGUGAUUAGGAAGUGGAAUCUGGACCAGUGGUGAGAAUCCUCAUUCAACAUUAACAUGAUUAGGAAGUGGAAUCUGGACCAACAGAUCUUACAGGAAGUACAGGUCGUAAAAACAUUGUCUUGAGACGCCAUGACACGUCAAGACAUAAGAAAACUAUAUUUAGGGAAGUGUCUUCAAGACAUUUUCUAGGCUCUUCCCGACAGCUAAAGGGAUUCUCUACUUUACGCUCAGUCUCUGCUCUACUCAUUUGGCUAAUCAGAGAACAGGCUACUCUGGAAAGAAUUGUUAAAUCAAAGCUCAAUCGAUGUCCUCAAGAUCACAUAAUGAUAGGAUUCUACAUAACAGAACCGAAUAUAAACAGAACACACAGAGACUGUGUGUGUAAAGUAGAGAAUCCCGUACAUCCACAUGUGCAGAAGCUUCAGGACAUUUAGCUGUCGGGAAGAGGGGUCCGGAAAAGUCGGACCUGUAGCCACUCCGUUUUUUAUAUUAGUGGUUUGAGAGAUGCCAUGAAAUGUUUUAAGACAUACAUUUUGAAGACAUGUCUUGAGACAUAAUGGCAUCUUAAGAUGUCUUUAAAAAAGUAUAUGUCUUGAAGUGUCUCAAGAUGUCUCAACUUGUGACGGCUGGGUAUGUAGGUUUCUAAACGAUCAGGAACACAUUUUCGCAGUCUUCACUUUGGACUUCCAUAGUCCGAUUGUGUUAGAAAACCAUUUUUGGUGAAAGGUGGUAAUAAAGGGAACAAAGACGGUGUGAUGAACGUUUACAUUUUACAUUUACGUCAUUUAGCAGACGCUCUUAUCCAGAGCGACUUACAACAUAUCUUCUGUCGUUGGCUUUUAUCCUUUUAUGGAAAUAGGGAGAAUGUGCAUUUUAUAGCUAAUAAAAGUGUUGAACAAAUUGUUGCUAGUUCUGAGUAACUUAAACAUCAGCUCUUUGUUGUAUUCGUUGAGUCUUUCUCUAGUCAUGUUUUUCAAAGUUUUGAAAUCUCACAAUAUCCAAUUGGCUGUGCGUUCGAGGUUUCUUUUUACAGUCUAUGGCUCGUGGGAACUGCAGACACAGUGAUCUGAGCUAUCUGAUUGGCCAGUGGUAGGCCUAUAGGUGCACUUGAUUUGCUCUCUGGGCCUGUCAGGUAGGCGUAGUUCUACCUUCAAACACAUUAAAUGGUUAAAAUGGGAACACGUUGCCUUCCCGGUGCUAGGGCUGUUGAAUUUGGGUGCACAUACAACCAACAGCGCGCAACGAAUAAAAAAUAAAUGGGAACAGGUUUUAUCUUAGUUUUUUUUACAGAAAUGUUUAGUGAUCAACUAGGAAUGCCUUUGAGGUCGACCAGUCGGUGACCACUGUAGUAAGAUGUUCUCUCAAUUGGCAAG
rnacentral:lncRNA from 1 species